rnacentral:lncRNA from 1 species
UCACAUUGUAGCCUUUUUCUUGCCCGCAGAAACCCAGAGCUGUCUUGGUAAAACUACGAUCCUGGGUUUCGUUAACCGUUGGAUUAUUGUGAAAUUUGGAUACGUUGUUCGAAAUUCAAUUCCGCAAGCUUCCACCGUUGGGAUUUGCGAGAUAAUAUUCGUGGAGGGAUAAAAAGGAAUCGUAUGAAGACAGUACAAGUGGAGGUUUCAAUCUCUUCUCUGUCUCUCUGACAUUUGGGAAUUCUAUCGGAGCAGUCGGAUGAAUAAUUGAAAGAAUUUCCAGGAACCGCUAGAGAUGUUGUUAUCGCUGGCUGAAGACACGUGAGCCCGCUUAGAGGUAAGGGAUGAGUUUAUCGCAAUUGGGGAUUAGAAUGAACAUGUGUAGGGAUCCUUAGAGAACUAAAUUUGAGUUUAUUUUGGGAUGUUUAUUGAAUUAUAAUUUUCUCUUUAUGAUUAUAAAUAUAAUAUUAUUGUGUUCUAUGUACCAAUUGAUGUCCUGAUGAGAAUUGAUUGAUAAACUUGAGUGCUCUUGAUGUCUUUGUGUUUAACACAUGAAUCUGAUUAAUUGAUUGUGAUAUAAUUGUGAGAAACUAUUUCAGGAUUUUACACCCCAUGUUGUGAUGAAAUCUUUUGUAUAAAGUGUUAUGUUGAGGUUAUGAAAUGAUGAUUCAAACUGUGAGUAUGUGAUAAAUUGAACAUGUGACGGAUGAUGAAAUACAUGUGUAUUGAGAUGAGAUGUGUGUAUUGAGUUGUGAACUAUGAACUGUGCAAUCACACAAUUGUAAGACCCUUUAAGGGCGACGAGUAUUGUGAUGGGAUCCACUGUGGGAAUCCGACGAGUUAAAAUGAUUUUGAAAACAAUUGAGUAGAUGUGUGUAUUGCAUAGUUCAUAGGUAAAGUGUACAUGAUUCAUGAGGUGUGAUAACAUGUUAAAUUGAGAUUAUACCAUUGUGAUUGGGAUUAAGUGUAUGUGAUAAAUUGAGUAUGUAUAUGAUUGAGAUAUAUAUGUGCAUCGAGUUGUGAACUAUGAAUUGUACAAUCACACGAUCAUAAGUCCCUUCAAGGGCGACGAGUUAAUGCUAAGUCCCUUUUAGGGCGACGACUUGAUGUUAAGUCCUUUUUAGGGCGACGAGUUGAUGUUAAGUCCCUUUAAAGGCGACAGGUUAAUGAUAAGACCCUUAAAGGGCGACGAGUUAAAAUUAUUUUGAGAUUAUAAAUAUAAUAUUAUUGUGUUCUAUGUACCAAUUGAUGUCCUGAUGAGAAUUGAUUGAUAAACUUGAGUGCUCUUGAUGUCUUUGUGUUUAACCCAUGAAUCUGAUUAAUUGAUUGUGAUAUAAUUGUGAGAAACUAUUUCAGGAUUUUACACCCCAUGUUGUGAUGAAAUCUUUUGUAUAAAUUGUUAUGUUGAGGUUAUGAAAUGAUGAUUCAAACUGUGAGUAUGUGAUAAAUUGAACAUGUGACGGAUGAUGAAAUACAUGUGUAUUGAGAUGAGAUGUGUGUAUUGAGUUAUGAACUAUGAACUGUGCAAUCACACAAUUGUAAGACCCUUUAAGGGCGACGAGUUAAUGUUAAGUCCCUUUAAGGGCGACGAGUUAAUGAUAAGACCCUUAAAGGGCAACGAGUUAAAAUUAUUUUGAGAACAAUUGAGGAGUCGUGUGUUUUGUACAGUUCAUAGAUAGAGUCUGUGUGCUAAAAUAAUUUUAGUGGUUGGACCUGAAUCAGGAGGGAGAGGCCCUGACAGACUCUUCGGAGUGUAGGCCUUGGGGGUCACCGGGUUUGAGUGCUCCUUUAAGCCUAUGUUGAUCCCAUAUGGUUGGAGCAUUCUCGCAAAACAUCGUGACCCUGACUGGUCUCCCUAUGAUCUUACUUAGUGAGAGUGACCUGACAAACCCAUUGUGUGGUGUGUCUUGUUAUGUACUCCUAAGCGCCCCAGGGUGGUUUUUCACUGACAUGGUACCACAUUGCAUAUAGGCUUGAGUCUUAGCAUAACUGUCGCAUACGCUUGCUAAUUGUUUAUUAUGAAAUUGAUGUGUUAUUAUGUCUUGAUCGGAGUGUGUGAUUCCUGUGUAUAAUGAUUGAUGAUUGAAAGGUGUGAUUGAUGAAUGACAAAGUGAUGAAAUAAUGUGAGAUAUGCUAAGUAAAUUGUAUUUGGCUACUAUAUGUUGUGUUGUUUCUCUCUAGUAGUUAGCAAUGUGAUAACUCACUCCCGGUUUGUUGUUUGUGUUUGGAUCCUGUGAUGAUCUUGAACUUUGUGUUCGGGGGAGCAGAUGAAUAGGUGGAUGACUAUGAAGAACCUCAUGCUAGAGGACACGGGAACACCACGCUCUGAUAGGAUGUG